AGGUGUUUCUAGAAUUACAU
rnacentral:rRNA from 1 species